GUUUUUCCCUUCUUGUGUCCCAGGCUUGCUGAAGGGCGUGGCAUUUAAAUGUCUGCAUUUACUUGAAUCGCACAUUAUUGAAUCUGAUAAAACUGAAAGAUUUUCAGGAGAAGAGAAUGUCUAACUCUUGACAGACAAACUUGUACAUCUACUUGCAACUACCCACACCUGGGAGCUUGUUAAGAGCACCAAACCUUGGGUUCCAUCCCAAAACUACUGGAUCAAAAUCUGCAUAUUUAACAAGAUCUCCAGUUCACAUCAGUGCUGAAGAGAUUCUGCAGCCAUAAAGGUGGAUGUUUCCACGAGUGUUUGGGACACCAACUCAUCCUCAUUAGACAUUAGAUUCAUGCUGGGAAUCCUCAGGUCAGCAAUUUGAACCAGCCCCAGAUCCACCGAAGCUGCAGUCGGAAGAACAAGACACAGAGAAGGAGUGAAAAGAACAAGAAAGCUUCUGAGAGUGCAAGCGUUUUUUUUCUUUAUCCAAUUCGACGCUCUGGAGAAAAUUAAACAGAUUCUUGUUUCUGUGGUCAAAGAAAUGGAGUGGGAUGAUAUGGAGGUUGUCUGUGACCCGAAGACUGCUGGUCUCCAUAAUCAUGGCAUAGAGAAAAAGAG
rnacentral:lncRNA from 1 species